rnacentral:snoRNA from 1 species
UACCCAUGGUGCGGACACAAGUUCUGUAGCUCUUUGAAUCUCUCCCAAGGUUGGUUUCACUAUCCUUUUGAGAAAAGGUUUAGAUUUGUCUCUUAAGGUU